UAAAGAGGAAAGAUGCAACUAACGAUCUGAACACAACAAUUGAGACUGGUGAUUUGGAGGGAAUUGAAAAGUACAGCAAAAGGACUGUCAAGGUAACCAAGCAACAUAAUGAAGAUUGUAAAUGUCUCUUAAGACUAAUGGGUGUGCCUACUAUUGAGGCACCCUGUGAAGCAGAAGCUCAAU